GCACGGGGACGACCCCGCGCGCCUUUCCAUCGCAGGGACGGCUCU
rnacentral:ncRNA from 1 species